rnacentral:rRNA from 1 species
GCUUCUUUCCUCCCGAGUGCUUGCACUCAUUGGAAAGAGGAGUGGCGGACGGGUGAGUAACACGUGGGUAACCURCCCAUCAGAGGGGGAUAACACUUGGAAACAGGUGCUAAUACCGCAUAACAGUUUAUGCCGCAUGGCWUAARAKUGAAAGGCGCUUUCGGGUGUCGCUGAUGGAUGGACCCGCGGUGCAUUAGCUAGUUGGUGAGGUAACGGCUCACCAAGGCCACGAUGCAUAGCCGACCUGAGAGGGUGAUCGGCCACAYUGGGACUGAGACACGGCCCAGACUCCUACGGGAGGCAGCAGUAGGGAAUCUUCGGCAAUGGACGAAAGUCUGACCGAGCAACGCCGCGUGAGUGAAGAAGGUUUUCGGAUCGUAAAACUCUGUUGUUAGAGAAGAACAAGGACGWUAGUAACUGAACGUCCCCUGACGGUAUCUAACCAGAAAGCCACGGCUAACUACGUGCCAGCAGCCGCGGUAAUACGUAGGUGGCAAGCGUUGUCCGGAUUUAUUGGGCGUAAAGCGAGCGCAGGCGGUUUCUUAAGUCUGAUGUGAAAGCCCCCGGCUCAACCGGGGAGGGUCAUUGGAAACUGGGAGACUUGAGUGCAGAAGAGGAGAGUGGAAUUCCAUGUGUAGCGGUGAAAUGCGUAGAUAUAUGGAGGAACACCAGUGGCGAAGGCGGCUCUCUGGUCUG